rnacentral:tRNA from 1 species
GGAGUUGUGGCUUAGUGGUAGAGAGUUUGCCUAGCAAGUCAAGUGUGAGGCCCUGCAUUCGAUCCUCAGCACCA